rnacentral:tRNA from 1 species
AGUAAUAUGGCCGAAUUAAGGUGAUAAACUGUAAAUUUAUUUAUGAAUUGAUAUUCUUUUACU